UGAAGACUAAUACCCAAUGAUAUCUCUAGAAGGCAUCUGAAAGAGAUUAAAGAUUUAUCGGUGAUGGAUGGGGAUGCGUCUGAUUAGC
rnacentral:rRNA from 1 species